rnacentral:rRNA from 1 species
AGAGAUGCUUUCUUCUCUUCGGAGCCAGGAACACAGGUGCUGCAUGGCUGUCGUCAGCUCGUGUCGUGAGAUGUUGGGUUAAGACCCGCAACGAGCGCAACCCUCGCCUUUAGUUGCCAUCAUUCAGUUGGGCACUCUAGAGGGACUGCCGGUGAUAAGCCGGAGGAAGGUGGGGAUGACGUCAAGUCCUCAUGGCCCUUACAGGCUGGGCUACACACGUGCUACAAUGGCGGUGACAAUGGGAUGCGAAGGGGCGACCCGGAGCAGAUCUCCAAAAGCCGUCUCAGUUCGGAUUGUACUCUGCAACUCGAGUGCAUGAAGGUGGAAUCGCUAGUAAUCGUAGAUCAGAACGCUACGGUGAAUACGUUCCCGGGCCUUGUACACACCGCCCGUCACACCAUGGGAGUUGGUUUUACCCGAAGGCGUUUCGCUAACC